CUACGGGGUGCAGCAGUCGAGAAUCAUUGUCAAUGUACGAAAGUAUGAACAUGCGACGCCGCGUGGAGGACGACGGCCUUCGGGUUGUAAACUCCUGUCCUGAGGGAGUAAGUGCAGGGAAGUUAAUACCUUUCCUGUUUGAUAGUACCUCAGAAGAAAGUCACGGCUAACUCUGUGCCAGCAGCCGCGGUAAUACAGAGGUGGCAAGUGUUGUUCGGAUUUACUGGGCGUAAAGGGUCCGCAGGCGGUCCUGUGUGUCGGAUGUGAAAGCUCACGGCUUAACCGUGGAAGUGCAUUCGAAACUACAGGACUAGAGUACAGGAGGGGAGAGGGGAAUUCAGGGUGUAGCGGUGAAAUGCGUAGAUAUCCUGAAGAACACCGGUGGCGAAGGCGCCUCUCUGGACUGAUACUGACGCUCAUGGACGAAAGCUGGGGGAGCGAAGAGGAUUAGAUACCCGAGUAGUC
rnacentral:rRNA from 1 species